rnacentral:rRNA from 1 species
AUUGAACGCUGGCGGAAUGCUUUACACAUGCAAGUCGAACGGCAGCACGGGGCGAACCUGGUGGCGAGUGGCGAACGGGUGAGUAAUAUAUCGGAACGUGCCCAAUCGUGGGGGAUAACGUAGCGAAAGUUACGCUAAUACCGCAUACGAUCUACGGAUGAAAGCGGGGGAUCGCAAGACCUCGCGCGAAUGGAGCGGCCGAUAUCAGAUUAGGUAGUUGGUGGGGUAAAGGCUCACCAAGCCAACGAUCUGUAGCUGGUCUGAGAGGACGACCAGCCACACUGGAACUGAGACACGGUCCAGACUCCUACGGGAGGCAGCAGUGGGGAAUUUUGGACAAUGGGCGCAAGCCUGAUCCAGCCAUUCCGCGUGCAGGAUGAAGGCCUUCGGGUUGUAAACUGCUUUUGUACGGAACGAAACGGUCUGCCCUAAUACGGCGGGCUAAUGACGGUACCGUAAGAAUAAGCACCGGCUAACUACGUG